GGCAGUUUAGCUUGAUGGUAAAGCAUUCACCUGGAGUCUUGAGGAAUGUGGGUUCAAAUCCCAUGGUUGUUU
rnacentral:tRNA from 1 species